rnacentral:rRNA from 1 species
CCUACGGGAGACAGCAGUGAGGAAUAGUGGUCAAUGGACGGAAGUCUGAACCAGCCAUGCCGCGUGCAGGAAGACGGCUCUAUGAGUUGUAAACUGCGUUUGUACAAGGGUAAACCUGAAUACGUGUAUGCAGCUGAAAGUACUGUACGAAUAAGGAUCGGCUAACUCCGUGCCAGCAGCAGCGGUAAUACGGAGGAUCCAAGCGUUAUCCGGAUUUCUUGGGUUUAAAGGGUGCGUAGGCGGAUUGAUAAGUUAGAGGUGAAAUGUCCUCGCUUAACUCGGGAACUGCCUCUAAUACGGUUGAUCUAGUGCGUAGAUGCGGUAGGCGGCAUGUAUGGUGUAGCGGU